GACGAACGCUGGCGGCGUGCUUAACACAUGCAAGUCGAACGGAAAGGCCCUGCUUUUGUGGGGUGCUCGAGUGGCGAACGGGUGAGUAACACGUGAGUAACCUGCCCUUGACUUUGGGAUAACUUCAGGAAACUGGGGCUAAUACCGGAUAGGAGCUCCUACUGCAUGGUGGGGGUUGGAAAGUUUCGGCGGUUGGGGAUGGACUCGCGGCUUAUCAGCUUGUUGGUGGGGUAGUGGCUUACCAAGGCUUUGACGGGUAGCCGGCCUGAGAGGGUGACCGGCCACAUUGGGACUGAGAUACGGCCCAGACUCCUACGGGAGGCAGCAGUGGGGAAUAUUGCACAAUGGGCGGAAGCCUGAUGCAGCAACGCCGCGUGCGGGAUGACGGCCUUCGGAUUGUAAACCGCUUUCGCCUGUGACGAAGCGUGAGUGACGGUAAUGGGUAAAGAAGCACCGGCUAACUACGUG
rnacentral:rRNA from 1 species